rnacentral:rRNA from 1 species
UACAGAGGGUGCGAGCGUUAAUCGGAAUUAUUGGGCGUAAAGGGAGCGUAGGCGGAUGUGCAAGUGGUAGGUGAAAUACCCGGGCUUAACCUGGGGAGGUCCUAUCAGACUGCACGUCUAGAGUAUGGUAGAGGAAGGUGGAAUUCCUGGUGUAGCGGUGAAAUGCGUAGAUAUCAGGAAGAACAUCGAUGGCGAAGGCAGCCUUCUGGGCCAUUACUGACGCUGAGGCUCGAAAGCGUGGGGAGCGAACAGG